CACUGCUCCGGGUGCUCCACUCUUGCUAGGAAUAAAAGGUCACAAGACAUCCGAUAUCCUUUUCAGAUUCUAAUGAGGUCAUAACAGCACAUCAGUGUUAUGCCAUCUAUUGCACAUUUGACUCUAUAAAAAAAUGUCUUAUCGUGUCUGCAAUGGGUAUGUCCGAUUACCCUCACGCUACGACCAUGUUGGAAGCUGCUAUCAACACCAUGUUGAUCCUGGAAGGAGAUCGCCCCAUAGCAGACAUGGAAUUGAGGGUUGUGAGUAUGCUGAAUCAGAGUCACUAGCUGGGCAAUGGAGAGAUUACAACAGGACUGCAGUAAGCCCAAGGCAAACAGAAA